AGCGAACCACUUCGGUGGUGAGCGGCGAACGGGUGAGUAACACGUAGGUGAUCUGCCCAUCAGACGGGGACAACGAUUGGAAACGAUCGCUAAUACCGGAUAGGACGAAAGUUUAAAGGUGCUUCUGGCACCGCUGAUGGAUGAGCCUGCGGCGCAUUAGCUAGUUGGUAGGGUAAAGGCCUACCAAGGCGACGAUGCGUAGCCGACCUGAGAGGGUGAACGGCCACACUGGGACUGAGACACGGCCCAGACUCCUACGGGAGGCAGCAGUAGGGAAUCUUCGGCAAUGGGCGAAAGCCUGACCGAGCAACGCCGCGUGAAUGAUGAAGGCCUUCGGGUUGUAAAAUUCUGUUAUAAGGGAAGAACGACUUUAGUAGGAAAUGGCUAGAGUGUGACGGUACCUUAUGAGAAAGCCACGGCUAACUACGUGCCAGCAGCCGCGGUAAUACGUAGGUGGCGAGCGUUAUCCGGAAUUAUUGGGCGUAAAGAGCGCGCAGGUGGUUGAUUAAGUCUGAUGUGAAAGCCCACGGCUUAACCGUGGAGGGUCAUUGGAAACUGGUCGACUUGAGUGCAGAACAGGGAAGUGGAAUUCCAUGCGUAGCGGUGAAAUGCGUAGAGAUAUGGAGGAACACCAGUGGCGAAGGCGGCUUCCUGGUCUGUAACUGACACUGAGGCGCGAAAGCGUGGGGAGCAACCAGGAUUAGAUACCCUGGUAGUCCACGCCGUAAACGAUG
rnacentral:rRNA from 1 species